UGGGGAAUAUUGGGCAAUGGGGGAAACCCUGACCCAGCAACGCCGCGUGAAGGAAGAAGGCCUUCGGGUUGUAAACUUCUUUUACCAGGGACGAAGGAAGUGACGGUACCUGGAGAAAAAGCAACGGCUAACUACGUGCCAGCAGCCGCGGUAAUACGUAGGUUGCGAGCGUUGUCCGGAUUUACUGGGUGUAAAGGGCGUGUAGGCGGAGAAGCAAGUUGGGAGUGAAAUCUAUGGGCUCAAACCCAUAAAACUGCUCUCAAAAACUGUUUCCCUUGAGUAUCGGAGAGGCAAGCGGAAUUCCUAGUGUAGCGGUGAAAAUGCGUAGAUAUUAGGAGGAACACCAGUGGCGAAGGCGGCUUGCUGGACGACAACUGACGCUGAGGCGCGAAAGCGUGGGGAGCAAAACAGGAUUAGAUACC
rnacentral:rRNA from 1 species